rnacentral:rRNA from 1 species
UACGGAGGGUGCAAACGUUGCCCGGAAUCAUUGGGCGUAAAGCGCACGUAGGCGGCCUGAUAAGUCGGGUGUGAAAGCCCUGGGCUCAACCCAGGAAGUGCACUCGAAACUGUCAGGCUUGAAUAUGGAAGAGGGUCGCGGAAUUCCCGGUGUAGAGGUGAAAUGCGUAGAUAUCGGGAGGAACACCUGUGGCGAAAGCGGCGCACUGGACCAUAACUGACGCUGAGGCGCGAAAGCUAGGGGAGCAAACAGG